GGUUAAGUUAGAAAGGGCGCACGGUGGAUGCCUUGACACUAGGAGUCGAUGAAGGACGGGACUAACGCCGAUAUGCUUCGGGGAGCUGUAAGUAAGCUUUGAUCCGAAGAUUUCCGAAUGGGGAAACCCACCAUACGUAAUGGUAUGGUAUCCUUAUCUGAAUACAUAGGGUAAGGAAGACAGACCCAGGGAACUGAAACAUCUAAGUACCUGGAGGAAGAGAAAGCAAAUGCGAUUUCCUGAGUAGCGGCGAGCGAAACGGAACAUAGCCCAAACCAAGAGGCUUGCCUCUUGGGGUUGUAGGACAUUCUAUACGGAGUUACAAAGGAACGAGGUAGACGAAGCGACCUGGAAAGGUCCGUCGUAGAGGGUAACAACCCCGUAGUCGAAACUUCGUUCUCUCUUGAAUGUAUCCUGAGUACGGCGGAACACGUGAAAUUCCGUCGGAAUCUGGGAGGACCAUCUCCCAAGGCUAAAUACUCCCUAGUGAUCGAUAGUGAACCAGUACCGUGAGGGAAAGGUGAAAAGCACCCCGGAAGGGGAGUGAAAGAGAUCCUGAAACCGUGUGCCUA
rnacentral:rRNA from 2 species